AGGGAGACGAAACAGUGAUGUGGAGUAAAACUUAUAAAAGCGACCUCAGUUCGGAUUGAAGGCUGAAAUUCGCCUUCAUGAAGUCGGAAUUGCUAGUAAUGGCAGGUCAGCAUACUGCCGUGAAUACGUUCCCGGGCCUUGUACACACCGCCCGUCACACCAUGAGAGUUGGAGAUACCCGAAGCCUAUGAGCUAACUUUUAGAGGCAGUAGUCGAAGGUAGAAUCAAUGAUUGGGGUGAAGUCGUAACAAGGUACC
rnacentral:rRNA from 1 species